GAGAUCAUGAUGUGAGUCGAAGGACGCUUAGCCGACUGAGCCACCCAGGCGCCCCAGAAAUGUUUAUCUUUUUAACACUACUCUCUGGAAAACAGCAGUGUAAGCCUUUAGUAAAAUGCUACGGGCUAUUCUCCUUGAACAGUAGGGAUAGAACUGGGAGGAGGGGGGCUGCUGUGGCACCUGUGUAGACAGAUCAGCUGCAGCUCAGUUCCUGUCAGUGGUGCCGUGUGGAAUUGUGGACCUAGUGUUGCCUUAUCUUCUGAUUUUUCAAGAGGGCUGAAAAUACAGAUUUUUAUUUAAAACCCUCCCAGUUUUUCAAUGCUAGUGACUAAUCUAAAUGUCUUCAGAGUCAGUACUAUGCUGAAUGCAUAGUGGCACAUCCAGAGGGACCGUCGGAAGGGUUUGAAGCAGAGGCAACCGGAUCACAUACUCCAUUUUGGAAGUUCGCGGCUACAGAGGAUGAAAUGAAGAAAGUUUGUUCUGUGAGGCCUCAGUGAAGGUUCAGGCAACAGUUGAUCGGGACUUAAAAGGAAUCUGUGGUGGCCAAGUGAAGAAAAGGGGAACAAUGAGCUGGGAUAAAAAAGUACAGGAUAAGCCUCAAGAGAUCUGGUGCUGUUCUUUCCUAUGUACUGUCCAAAGUAAGGGCCCUUCCCUUCACUGCACUGGAAGGAGAAGAUUGCUCUUGAUUACCUCACACUGCCCCUCCGUCCUCCCAGCUCAGCUGACUUGUGCUCCUGCUUCAGACUGCUGCUAAGCACUUGAAGACAGAGUAGGUGCUUAGACAUAACUCUCAUUUAUUCGAAUGUUUAACUACUUAGGUAAUUCUGCCGUUCCCCAAAGUUACAUCUUAAUGUAGAAUAUUCAUUAAUACCUUGAAAGGCCCUGAAACGUCCUUUAAAAGGAAUUUCGGGAGCAAGUAAACAUUUGUGUAAGCCCACCACACCAAAUUAAAAGCUUCUUUCUCACAUAUACAAGAGUGGCCCUUUGUAGGAGAAGGCCAACCAGCUCCCAUAAGCCUCUUGAAUUUCUCUGGGCGAACACACCAGCAUAUGGCAUUGUUUCUGUGUUGCUGUAAUUUAUGUAAAUGCGUUGUCAGAGAUGAAUUAAAACUUAUAGUUGUAAAUCUACAAGGACACAGCUGUAACUCACACAGAUUUAUCACUUGUGGACGCGUAUAUCAAGCCUCUGGAAUUACUGCCUCUACCAUAGACAGAGGUUAAAGAAGAAGGUAACAGCUUACAUGCCAUUAUACAUAUACAGCAGUUUGUCAUUCAUCGGUGGUGGUAGGAAUACAAAAUAUAGCAGGUGGACCGUCCUUCACCCAACACCAUCUAAUCGACAGAUUGCAGUAAGAAUGCCGAAAGAGAGAUCACCAGAUGACGAGUCAGAAAACUUCGCCUCACAUCCAGUCACUAACUCUGUCACUCAGACUUUUCCAAGCCUGCGUUUACUUGGGCUCAGACUGCUUUUCAAAAACCUGUUAAUACCGCCUCCGGCAUGCUCUGCAUGGUUUUUGCGAGGUGGCCGUACGUUCAUUCAUUCAUUCAACAAAUGUUUAUUGAGUGCCUACUGUAUGUCACUCACUUGUGUUAGGCUGAAAGAAAUAAUGGAGGCCAACAUCCUUAUUUUUGGCCAAAAAGCUAAGGGAGGUCAGAAAGAUGAGGUGCUUUACAGAGGAUGUGAAAGAGCUUUUGGAAAAUUGUGAAAUGCAUACAAGGGGAAAUCAUUAUUAAUUGUAAGACAAAGGCAGUAUCUCCUUUAUAUGAUGUGUGUGCUUAGUUCUCCUGAUGUUCACACCUGCCUUGGAGUUCCUUUUAUAUACAACUUCACUCGCACUGUUUUAGCAUUGUUCUUCCUAAACCAGGUGACAUAUCAGAAUCACGUAGGAAAUUUCAAAAUGGAUUUUCCCUACCUCAGACCUCUGAAUGAGAUUCUCUAAGGCAGGGCCCUAGAUUUCUACAUUUUUAUAGAAUACUGGCAAGUAGUUCUAAGGCAGACUGGAGUUGAGAACCUCUAGGUUUACUGACUGAAAGGGCAGAUUAUAUGAGGAACAAAAAAUAUGUGAAUUUUUGUGAAUUAAUAUUUUAAGUCCACAGGGCCUGUAAAAUUAAUUUAAAAAAAUAAAAACUUGCAUCAUAUAGACUAAAAUGGAGACUUAGGAUGGCCUUAGUGGAAUUUGAUUUGUGUGGGAGGUAUCACCAUGGAAAAGGCAGUGUAGCAAUAUUAAAGGUUUAGGGGAGAAAAACCAGUCAUAAUCCCCCCCACAAAGAUUUUACACUUAUAUAUUGCUUAUUCACAUGUAUAGCAACUUGUAGAUGUUUGUAGUCAUGGUCUAUAUUUCCCUAUAUUUGCUUUGAAAUAUAACAUAAAAUUAUAAUGUUUUAGUUUAUGCGGUUUUAGUUAACUCCUUUCUGUGUAGAAAUUUCUCUUAUCAUCUUGAGCUGAGCUGAGGCCAGAAUCCCUAGAUUUUCAUAUUGCAUUUGAGAAUUUUCCUGUUACGUUAGGCCAUCCCACCCUGACAGAACAUGAAGCAGCUACUCUUAGGUACACAGAUAGCCUCAUUUUCUCCCCACAGUGCCCUUUUUGAUGACUUUUCUGUUCUUCAAAUUACAACAGAAGGGAGCCCCUACCAGAUAAAAUCACUAACUGAAAGUGUACUUACGGAAGUCAUCAAUAUCUUAUUAACCCCUUAUAGCUUUGCCCCUAAUUGGGAGUUUUCUCCAGUUACUCCAGUACAACACACAAUUCAAGAGUUUUCUGUCUCUGGAUAGCUCUCAUGAUAUAGUAGGAUCUUUUCUGUUCAUGAUAAAGUAGGAUCUUUCCAUUCAAAUAAUUUAUUAAUUUAGUAGAUAUUAAGAAUUUACUGUGUAUCAGCUACUAUGUCAGUGCUGCAAACUACUGAAAUAAUAUAUUUCUAUUUAAUGGUUAUGAGGAAACUAAUGCCUCCUCUAGAAAUAGAAGUUCAUUCUUAGCUACCUUGCUUUUCUAAGUGGUGAAUCCAGUGAAAUUCCCAGGAUGAGUCACUUCCACAUAUGGGGAAAACACUCACUAAGCAUUUAGUUUGUCAGUAUGUCCUUAAUAAUAUACUAAAAGGAAUUCUAUAUCAAGAAGAUUUUAUAGCAGAGCAACAAGAGACAAGACUAGGCCAGAGCUAGGUCACAGAGGCCCUUGUGUCAUGAUGAGAAAUUAUGGUAUUAUCCUAAAUGUAGUGGGAAACUAUUAAGGGUUCUAAGCAAGUGACUUGAUCUGAUUUAACUGGUGUGUGGGGAACGAAUUGAAGGAAGACAAAAGCGGAAAUGGGAAGACCACUUACAAGGCCAUCCAAAGGUAUUUCAGGCUAGAGAUGACAACAGUCUAGACUGGAGGGAGGAUCGUGAAGAUAGAGAAAAAUGAACCGAUUUGAGACGGAUUUGAGAGAGCGAAGUUUUGAGGAUGAUUUCUAGGUUUUGGUUUGAGCAACUGCAUAGCUAGGGAACACUGGAAGAGGAGCAGAUUCGUGGAAUAAGGAGCGGUAGACAAUUGUGUUUUAUGCUAAUUUUGAGGAGCCUAGUAAACAUUCACGUGGAGCUCUUACAUGGCUUUAGAGACAAACAAGUAGACAUCAUUGAUACGUUCAUGCGUUUACAGCCGUGGCUGUGGACAAACAGACCGUGAUAAGAGAAGCUUGGAUAGAGUGAGGAGGGAUGGGACAAAGUCCUAAAAAAAGGUCACCAUUUAGGGAUGAGAUGGAAGAGGUGCAUCUUGCAAAAGCAUGAGAAUGGGUGGUUGGAGGGCAUGAAGAAAAGCAGAAGACUGUUGUGUCUUAGAUACAAAAAGAGGAGAGUGUCUCCUGGAGGAAAAGCUACUGAAAGGUCAAGAAAGGUGACAAUUACUUGAAGCCCAUCAGAUUUGGCAACAGAAGGUCACUGGUGACUCUAAAAAGUAGCGUCAAGUGCCGUGGUGGGGCUGGAAGCCUGACGGCAGUGAUGCCAUGAGCAGCCAGGCUUGCGUAGACCACUCUUUCAAGAAGCUUGGUUGGAAAAACGAGAGAGAAGAGACAUAGCGAGGAACAAAUGUGACAUCAAGAGAGUUUUGCUUUUCAAGAUGUUUCUCUUUUUUUAAUGUACUAUAGAAUAUUUGACUUUUUAAGGGUAACACCUGACCCAUGGUUUACCCAAGUGAAACAUUUAGCAGUAGAAAAGGGUUUAAAACAGGUAUGAAAGAUGCUGUUUUGGAUUGACCAUGGAGAGAACACUCCUACAUGUUUAAUGCCAACCUAGAGAGAACACAGGUGGCAUGAGAUCUAUGCUAAUGAGAAACGAAAGACCAUUCAGACAGGCCUUUGAAGCCACAGACUAAGACGAAGAGCAAUACCUUCGUAUCUAACUUUAAUAAGGGACAUUUGCCCAGGGAUUUCAGAGACAUGUUACUAAUUUGGUGGAUUUCAAAAGCAUACAGCUUCUGAGUAUUCUUAAAUGAAAUUAUUCAACAAUCCUGUGCCUCUAGGAUUAAAGGGCCUAUGUUUUCUCUAAGGAUGGAGCGCUAUUGGCUAUAUAUUUGACUUACCAAAUAUAUUUAAUAUAAAGAUAGCAUGGCCAUAGCAUUCUUUUCAUAUUAGCGAGAAGGGUUUCAUUUUGAUAAGCAUAGUUUUUAGAGGUUUUCUCUUAAUUUUCUCCAGACAAGAGAGGUAGGUUCAGGGUUCAGUUUGCGUUUCUGAAUUUCCACCAAGAUGCAGGUGGCCUCCUAGGCUUGAGCUGUUUUGUUUUUUUUUUUCCUUAUGGUUUAGCCAUCUCACCAAAGAAAGAGCUUCACUCUGAUUUUUCACCUUUUCCAUAAAGCAAAUAGAGAGCUGUUUACAACAGCCUUUGUCUGGCUUUGGCAUUGAUUUUAAAUCACCUGGAUUGAUCAUGUGGUUAUGGGACUUUAGAAAAUCCCACCAAACACCAAAGCCUCUAAACACAAUUAGAAUUGAGGGGUUUUUGAUCUGCUAGCAUAAUGUCUAUAGGAGUCCAUUUUAAAUUAUCUUUAACUUCUGCUCAGGUUAGGUGGGAAAAAGCACUGUCCUAAUGCAUGGUGUCUGGGGUUUUGUAGGUGCUCUCAAGCACGUAGAAACGUUUCUAGUUUUCAAAAUGAGGAAGCAGCUAAAAUCUGUCUCGGAGUGUUUCACUGCCUAGGCAGUUUCCUCAGCCAAUGAGAGGAAGAUAUGCAAAUCAGCCAGCUGUCCGGUCACACACUCCUGGUUCGCAGGACCACGCAGGACUCAGGCAAGCUGAUCUCAACCAGAUUUGACAAAGAGGUGGAAGGUCUAAAAUGAAAUAGGUCAACACAGAUUCUCUAAUAAUAGGUAGAUGUGAAGGGACGAAGAGGGAUCCCACAGGAAAGCUGCUUUCUAAAGACUGCUGAUAUCCCUGCUUUUCUUUUCAGAUUUCUCCUCAUCAGUGGCACCUGUGUCUGAACCUUCUUAUCUGCUGACGAAACACUUCCUAUUUUCCAUUAAUUACCUUUUAGAUUAUUUCUAGAAGAUCGGCGUCUAACAAAGUAAAUAUUUAUAAGGAUUCAAACUGCUUUAAGAAACCGACUUUGCCUUUCUUAUGGGAGGUAUUUUUCUAAGGCUUGUUAUAGUACCUCAAUUUUGUUGUCAUGGUGACUAGAUAAUAGAAUAUAACUUUUCAAAAAUGAAAACCUGCUUUUAACCAGAUCCUUCCAACCAAGUAGUCAUAAAUAUAGAGUUUAGAGUGGACAAUUUAUGCUCAAUUUCUCUCCUAGCUAAAAUCAAAAUUUACUUUACAGAUACCCGCUUUCAAUAAUUAAACACACACACACACACACACACACACACACACACACACACACACACAGAGUAAACUCCCUGCCAGUCUCCUAAUAGUAAAACAUAGUAAGCACCAACAAAGACAUUGUUGUUUUUGAAUCCAUAUUCUUUCUAGUUAAAAAACACAUGUGCCCAGAAUCAUCAUAAUUUUGGAGUAUUGUUAUGGUAGCGCCUUAAUAAACAGUAUACUGUUUUCCUCAAUAUCUGUACAUAAUUGUCAGUGGAUAAAGAAAAAGAAACAGGAAAGUCUCUUGUCAAUAGCCUGAAAAAAUAACAUUCUUUUGAAGUGUGAUUAAAAUCCUGUAAGAGAUCAGCGCUUUGUUUCCUAAAUUCACUCACAAGACUUUUUACACAAUUGUUGUUUUUCUUUUUUAAUAUUCUUUUGAUGUUAUAACAAUAGAAACAUAUUGCAAUCAUUCCUAUAACAUUAUGUUGGAGGAAUGUUUACAGUAUUUCAUGCUUGAGCUAGUGCACAUUUUAAUGCUUAAAGAUGUUAUUUUAUCUGUUAGAAAAAAAAGCAUUGAUUGCAAAAAAAAAAAAAGGAAAGAAAGAAAGAAAGAAACCUCAAAAUGCUUUCCACUGUGCUUUUUUUCUUCCAGCAGAUUUUCUCCAUGUUUCAAGAAAGAUGGCUUUACAUAGUAACUUAGAAAUAACACCUAAUGAUUAACAGAAUGAUGGAUGUGACGAAUCACCUUUUUCUUGAGAAAUAAUAAAUCAACAUAUUCCUACCCAUAAAUUUUUACUGAAAAAUGAAAUAUUAGCAGCAUAUAUUUAACGAGGUGUCAGAUACACUGUCGACCAAAUGUUGCCCUCAUAACCAGUAGACUACCUUAAAAUGUAAAACCAGUUACAUUUUUUUAUUACAACUAAAGUAAUUCAAAUAUAAUUUAUAAUUUUCUAAAUUUAGUAGACUUUUACUCCUUGUUUUUACUCGUCUAAUCAUAAGCAUGGACAUGAUCUGCUUGAGCAUUAUCAAUAUUAGACCCCAAAGUUAAGCAAAUAAAACCUCCUGAUGUAGAGGUUUUUACUCAUGAAAUUUUUAGUUAGGCUUUAAUUUUAGGAUUAUAAACUGAAAUAUUCAAAAGAGUUGCCCUUUUUAUCCUUAAGUGGUUCCCCCUGGCCCCUGUUUAGGUAGCAUUUUUUUUUUCCCCUUCCUCUGGUUUUAUUUUUAGGCAGUCUUUAUAUUGAAUUCUGUUUGGAUUUUCUGGAAGCUUAUUUGAAGGGUGAAUUUGUGAAUACAAAUUGAUUGUUAGUUGCACAGCAAGUUUGCUUUAUUUCCAUUUUGGGGGUGUUUUUUCUUGAGUAGCCAUAGUGUAUGAUGGGAAGUGGAGCAGGGCAGUGUCCUUCCCCUGGCUGUAUUGAUUUGCCCUUCAGCUGUGUGCAGUGCAGAGAGAACCUCAGGCCUUGUUGUUGAUUAUCUACACAGUGUCUCUGGGAGCAUUAUUGACCCAUUGCCGCUGACUGCCUGUGGCUCUUGAUUUUUCACACCGUCUCCAUGACACUCAUAAUAAAACAUACUAUCUUAUUGCAACUCAGCUCUGGGAGCCAACUGAUUCAGCCGUAGAAUACCACAGUGUUUCUAGAGAACAUUUAUUGUAUGUGGGGUAAAGUGUUGUAGCAAUUUUAGGAUUCUGUCUUGUAUAGUUUUAAUAGCUACCUCUAAAGCAAGAUUCCACACACACUAUUACAUUUUUAUUGUUUUAAGAAAGCCAAUACUAGCUUUGCCUGUAUUGUUAACAGGAAAAUUUGCCUUAUUAGUACAAAAUUAAUUUUAGAACAUUGACAUAAUGAAAGGAAUAUUCUGUUUUAACAUUAGGCUUGAUGUGUGGCUAUAAUAUUCAUUUUCAAAACUAAAUUUUGAAAUAUAUUACAAGGAUUAUGCUAUAACUUGUACUACAGUAAAUGAUAGUUUUUUUUUUUUUCAGAUUUCUGAUUGUAUUUGAAUAACAUGCUCCUAAUUUACUAUUUCCAAUGUAUUCUCCAGAGUACAUUUUAACUUCUGGUAGGGUAUCAAGUUAUAAGAAAUGACAUAACAUCUUUCUUCUUAGUUAUCUUGGAAGACUUUUUAAAAUUUAGGCUGUAAUUAAUAGAAAAUGGAUUUCUUUGAGCAUAUUUUUUUUGUUUAGUAUUGGAGGUUUCAUAUUUUUUGAAAUACCAGAUUAUUUUAAUUUUUAUUUCCUGUUUUUUCCCAAUCCACAGUUAGCAUUAACAAUUCCUUAGUAUCUUAGUGUUGAUUGGUAGUGUAGUGUUUCAAGAAAACUCCCAGAGAUCCUGAGAAAUAGGUUUUGAUUCUGUUAGUACAGAGAGAAUAAAAUGAACGUGUUUCUUAAAGAUACUUUAAAUAGUUUAACCCACUGUAAGUACUGUUAUGAAUAUAAAUGGUAAAAUAGUUCAGAAGAAAACAAUUACUUUUGCCAGAAGUAUCUGGACAUUUUUAUAGAAAAGAUAAGUCAAAGCAAGAGUUUCAGGUUAGGUUAAUAUUGUUGGCCACAUUUUGUUAAAGUUGUUUAAGAGUGUUUUCAUUAGUCAGAACAAACUAAAAUUUCUUUAACAAGCCUAUUUUUAAUAAAUUCAGAUUGGGAACCUUAUAAUAAAGCUAAUUUAUAUUCAUAUGCGUCCAGUUUCACAAAUUCCCUGAAUUAGAGGAUCUUUCAAAAAUGUUUGCCAUAAACCUGUUUAACAGUAUGUUCAAAUUAAUAGUGGCUUACCACUGGAAAAAAUGUUAGUUUGUUUAAAGUUCAGUGAGCUUUGCCUUUUAAUUUUUUAACAUUUCGAAAGCAUAAUUCAUUUGCAUGGGUGGAUUUAGUUUGUGUUUUCUUGUUUUAUCAAAUCUAAAUGUAUGCUUUUUAAAGUACCAAAUUGUCAUAAAAUAAGAGCUUUUUAAGUAAAGUUUUUAGCAAGUAUUGUUUUGGGCUGGUGGAGGCAUAGAGCACGGCCUCAGUAGACUGCCUCCGACAGCGCACAAAACCCCGAGCAACUAAGUUGUCUCUAAUGAGAGCUGUGUUGUUUCUCAGCUCAUUUAUUUUGGGUUUAUGGCCUUUCAUGUAAAUAGAAGCCGAUGGCGGAAAAUCUGAGGAAAAGCAUCCCGCUUCUCAUCCCUCCAAAUGAGGGAUGUAUUCUAUAAAAUUAAAAAAUUAAUUCUCCAUGAUUCUUCAUUCCACACCUCAGUGUUUGGACAUGUGAUGAGGAUCCACGUGAUAGAAUCUCUCUGACUCUCAAACAGAGGCGUUUUUCAAAUCUGGGGACCCAGGCAUAGGCAAUAUUUCAUUCACCUCCGGGUGGCGGGGAAGAACAGAGUACAUUGGACCCAUUGUUAUGCAAGCAGUGGUCGUCCACAGCCAACUUUUACUUAUGUGGACUUAACACCCACAGUAGGGCAGGUUUGAAUUCUGUGUUGGAGUCAAGUAUCAAGUUUACAGUAAACCUUGGUCACCGUGGUUUUUCACCGUCCCACCUGAUGGUUUUUGAUAGCUUGAGGUUUGUGUUCCGCUUAAGCCGGAGUAUUUCAGUGUGUCUUUGGGCAUUCAGACCACUUUAAAGUGUACAUAAGGCUUCCUCUAACCAAGUCAUAGUUAUCAGGUACUGCAAAGGUUAAGCCUUAUCAUCGGCACCAAAAAAAAAAAAAAAAAAAAAAAAGGUGAGGUUU